rnacentral:tRNA from 1 species
GUUUAUAUAGUUUAAUAAAAAUAUUGUUUUGUGGAUUCAAAGAUAUAAAUAUUAUUAUAAACAAUUUU